rnacentral:piRNA from 1 species
UGGCAUUUGGUCUUCUCUACAUGGUUUA